ACAAUAAUACUCAAAAGACUUUCUAUUGAAUCAACCUACAUUGCUCCAAAAAAAAUCCAAUUAAACACGUUGCCGCGCACGCGUUUCUUCUCCUAGACGAGCUUGCACACCUCAAUCUCCUCAUUGUUUGUGCAACUAGAAGCAUCACUUUGGGGCUUGUUGUCAAUGAGGCGAAACGAUCGUCGUUGUCGGCGGGGAACAAGUCAUCGUUUGUCUAGUCAAAAUCGGAGUUCGCGGAAUUCUUAGAGUGGGUUGGGUUGUUGAACUUUUGGGUCCAGUAGGCAAUCACAGUUUCUGGCGGAUCCCAUCCAUCAAUGUUGAAUUUGAGCAACAGAAUGUUGUACUCAAAGAGUAAGGAGAAAAAGAGAAUAGAGGGAGAAGAAGUGAAGGGAGAAGAAGAGGAUGGAGAAGGAUGAGAAGUUGUAGACAUGAUCUCGUCACAGCGAAACAAGACUUUUAAUCAAGUGGAGAUGGGGAAGAUUCACCACAGCGAAGCUAUGCCUCGCCACAACAAAUUUGCAAAGCUAAAGACCUUGAAAUUAAUUGAAAAUUGCCAGAACAAGCCAAUCCGUCACCCCAGUAAGCAAGGUUCAUAAGCAUGAAGAUUAAGUGCAAAAGUGUUUAGUGUAUAAUUUAAUUUUGCUGUAGUGAAAUAUACUUUCACUACAACAAAAAUCCUCUAUGAUAGAAAAAAAUAUUAUGAUCUGGGCUCUAUAUAAAAAGCUCGUGAUAUCCUUUGUACAAAUUUUUGGUUCAUUUGUGAAUUUCAAAAAUAUAAUCUCUUACUCA